GACGAACGCUGUUUGGCGUGCUUAACACAUGCAAGUCGAACGGAAAGGCCCUGCUUUUGUGGGGUGCUCGAGUGGCGAACGGGUGAGUAACACGUGAGUAACCUGCCCUUGACUUUGGGAUAACUUCAGGAAACUGGGGCUAAUACCGGAUAGGAGCUCCUGCUGCAUGGUGGGGGUUGGAAAGUUUCGGCGGUUGGGGAUGGACUCGCGGCUUAUCAGCUUGUUGGUGGGGUAGUGGCUUACCAAGGCUUUGACGGGUAGCCGGCCUGAGAGGGUGACCGGCCACAUUGGGACUGAGAUACGGCCCAGACUCCUACGGGAGGCAGCAGUGGGGAAUAUUGCACAAUGGGCGGAAGCCUGAUGCAGCAACGCCGCGUGCGGGAUGACGGCCUUCGGGUUGUAAACCGCUUUCGCCUGUGACGAAGCGUGAGUGACGGUAAUGGGUAAAGAAGCACCGGCUAACUACGUGCCAGCAGCCGCGGUGAUACGUAGGGUGCGAGCGUUGUCCGGAUUUAUUGGGCGUAAAGGGCUCGUAGGUGGUUGAUCGCGUCGGAAGUGUAAUCUUGGGGCUUAACCCUGAGCGUGCUUUCGAUACGGGUUGACUUGAGGAAGGUAGGGGCGAAUGGAAUUCCUGGUGGAGCGGUGGAAUGCGCAGAUAUCAGGAGGAACACCAGUGGCGAAGGCGGUUCUCUGGGCCUUUCCUGACGCUGAGGAGCGAAAGCGUGGGGAGCGAACAGGCUUAGAUACCCUGGUAGUCCACGCUGUAAACGGUGGGUACUAGGUGUGGGGUCCAUUCCACGGGUUCCGUGCCGUAGCUAACGCUUUAAGUACCCCGCCUGGGGAGUACGGCCGCAAGGCUAAAACUCAAAGGAAUUGACGGGGCCCCGCACAAGCGGCGGAGCAUGCGGAUUAAUUCGAUGCAACGCGUAGAACCUUACCUGGGUUUGACAUGGAUCGGGAGUGCUCAGAGAUGGGUGUGCCUCUUUUGGGGUCGGUUCACAGGUGGUGCAUGGCUGUCGUCAGCUCGUGUCGUGAGAUGUUGGGUUAAGUCCCGCAACGAGCGCAACCCUUGUUCACUGUUGCCAGCACGUUAUGGUGGGGACUCAGUGGAGACCGCCGGGGUCAACUCGGAGGAAGGUGGGGAUGACGUCAAGUCAUCAUGCCCCUUAUGUCCAGGGCUUCACGCAUGCUACAAUGGCUGGUACAGAGAGUGGCGAGCCUGUGAGGGUGAGCGAAUCUCGGAAAGCCGGUCUCAGUUCGGAUUGGGGUCUGCAACUCGACCUCAUGAAGUCGGAGUCGCUAGUAAUCGCAGAUCAGCAACGCUGCGGUGAAUACGUUCCCGGGGCU
rnacentral:rRNA from 1 species